ACAGAUGCCUUUUAGGAGAUAGCAUGAUCACGAAGGUGGUUUUCCCAGGAUGAGGCUUAUACAUUGCACUCCAGAUGUGCUAACCCCUGCGAUUUCCCUAAAUUCUGGAAACCUGACUGCAUAAUUUUUGGUAGUGGGGGGACUGUGUUUGAGCUCUCCCAUU
ensembl:snRNA U1 U1 spliceosomal RNA